UACGGGGGGGGCAAGCGUUGUUCGGAAUUACUGGGCGUAAAGGGUUCGUAGGUGGCUCGCUAAGUCACACGUGAAAUCCCUCAGCUUAACUGGGGAACUGCGUGUGAGACUGGCAAGCUCGAGUGCAGGAGAGGAAUGCGGAAUUCCGGGUGUAGCGGUGGAAUGCGUAGAGAGUCCGGAAGAACACCGGUGGCGAAGGCGGCCUGCUGGGCAGUAGCUGACACUGAGGCGCGACAGCGUGGGGAGCAAACAGG
rnacentral:rRNA from 1 species